AACGAACGCUGGCGGCAUGCCUAACACAUGCAAGUCGAACGAGACCUUCGGGUCUAGUGGCGCACGGGUGCGUAACGCGUGGGAACCUGCCCUUAGGUUCGGAAUAACUCCCCGAAAGGGGUGCUAAUACCGGAAAAUGUCUUCGGACCAAAGAUUUAUCGCCUUUGGAUGGGCCCGCGUUGGAUUAGCUAGUUGGUAGGGUAAAAGCCUACCAAGGCGACGAUCCAUAGCUGGUCUGAGAGGAUGAUCAGCCACACUGGGACUGAGACACGGCCCAGACUCCUACGGGAGGCAGCAGUGGGGAAUAUUGGACAAUGGGCGAAAGCCUGAUCCAGCAAUGCCGCGUGAGUGAUGAAGGCCUUAGGGUUGGAAAGCUCUUUUACCCGGGAUGAUAAUGACAGUACCGGGAGAAUAAGCUCCGGCUAACUCCGUG
rnacentral:rRNA from 1 species